rnacentral:tRNA from 1 species
GCCGCCGUAGCUCAGUUGGCAGAGCGAUCGCCUUGUAUCUGCGGCUGGAAAGCGAUAGGUCGUGGGUUCAAUCCCCACCGGCGGCUCCA